rfam:TPA: Bos taurus chromosome 8, whole genome shotgun sequence.
UCCCUGGUGGCUCAGAUGGUAAAGAAUCUGCCUGCAAUGCAGGAGACCUAGGUUCGAUCCCUGGGUUGGGAA